UACGAAGGGGGCUAGCGUUGCUCGGAAUCACUGGGCGUAAAGCGCACGUAGGCGGAUUGCUAAGUCAGGGGUGAAAUCCUGGAGCUCAACUCCAGAACUGCCUUUGAUACUGGCGAUCUUGAGUCCGGGAGAGGUGAGUGGAACUCCGAGUGUAGAGGUGAAAUUCGUAGAUAUUCGGAAGAAACACCAGUGGCGAAGGCGGCUCACUGGCCCGGUACUGGACGCU
rnacentral:rRNA from 1 species